GGUCACGCUGAUGGAAGUUAAUGCUGAAAUAGCUGAAAGGUUCAUGUCACUUUGUUGUGUGGGGGGAAUUGCUUCACAAAUCUAGUCACCUGAAGAUCUUAGAGCAUGCAUCUGAAGUGUUUGAAGUGUCUUCGAAAUGCCCUUGUUGCAAAGGUUUCUUUCUGAAGUUCGUUGUAUCGUGGGCAGUUUGGAUAAGGUAUCUCAACAUUUAUGCUGCAUAGAAUCUGAGCUGUCCAAGAGAAGCAACAUUUCCCGCAUAUACGUCAUACCUCUCUGCCUGGGAUACUUACUGAAGGCAACGCGCGCGCCGAUCGCACGUUACAUGGUCAGGACCGUUGUGGGUUCCGGCCCGCUGUGUGCGACCGGCACUGAAACAGCAUGGCGUGGCACCAGGGGCUGUCGAACCCCAUACCGGAGUUUCAGCUGACCUUGGAGGAGAACGCAGUGCCUCCUGGGUCGACAAUGGUGGGACGGAGAUGGCGGAGAUGUAGCGUCCCAAGCCAGCCCGUGACAUGGGGAGCAGUAAAAGCAUUGGUCGCCGCGGCUCAAUGAAGACUGGCAGCAAACCAACAGCCAGACUCCUGAGACUCUGUUUGUGGCCAUUCUCACCCAAAUCACUGCUAAUUCUGUAUUGAUUGUGUGCCUUAUGUGCCUGCUAUUUCCUGUAGGGGUUGUCUCGGGAGCGCCUCCUCUGUUACGGGCCCAAAUGACAUAUAACCUAUGGGAAAGAUUGGCUUCAAUAGCAAAUGUUACCCACUUUUGUUUAUCUGAUUUUGUAGCAGCUGAAGAAUUGUUAGGUAUGUGCCUUAUUCCAGUAUGUCAUCACCCUGAGGAAAUAGGGAAUGAGACGAUGCUCGCUGCUUACGCGAACCUCUCUUCCAGUACUCUAGCAUGGCUAAUUGGGGCCUGGCCAAUUACACUUUACCUUCUGAAGCUUAUUUUUUGCUGUUGCUGUGUGCAAUGUAUUUCCUUUUUGUUAAGGCUUUGUCGAGAACCGCCCUGGCAGGCUCCAUGAGUUAUGAUCUUGUCUGUCCGGGAGUUAAUGGCUUGCAAAAGCAAAUUGAUGGCUACCAUGAGAUGGCCGAGCACAAAUAAACAAAAAAGGAGGGGAUAUAGCAUUCAUGCAAGGUUCAUGCACUUGGCAACAUUCAGGGCACACCCAGAGUGUUGUGUAGGAGCAGUGCACACACGGCUCCUCUCAAGGGCAUGAACCUUGGAAUCUCGCCCAGAUGACAUGAACCGUGGGAAGCCUCCCAGGACUGGGCUCAAGGCCCGAGAGCAAGGAAUGCGGUAGAUAGAAAUUGGUAAAUAAGAAUAUUAUACAAAGCCAGUGUAUUCCUUUUAUCUGUUGGAGUAUGUAAUGCGCGGGGGGAGAGAGAAAUAAAGGAGAGGGUGGAAAAGCUGACAGGCGGAGCAGCCCGUCGGCAGACCAGCCUGCUUGCUUGCUUAAAGCUUGUCCUGUCUUGUAUUUGAACCGCAACAAUUGACAUUUAAAUCAUCAUCACUGGGGCACCUGAGUUCACACCUCCCCAAGUUAUUGCUCUGGGCUCUCUGGAGACUCAUGUCUGGACUGGUUACAUUUCAUGUUUUCUUUCUCAACUGUAACAUUUAUUUUUGUCCUUAAUUGGGAUGAAAGGUUGAAAUAUCAAAACUUUUAAUUGAAGGAAAUGUUCUGAAAAAUUGCAAUUCAUAAAUAUUGAAACAUUCCAUUUGGACCGUUCCAAACUUAAAUUGCAUCUUCCUUGGCUACUGUGGUGUCUCCUGGGAGUUGAAGUACAGAUGUUUGACUCCAUUCUUCCCUGUGGGCUGAGCCAUAUUGCAUCGCUGAUGAUGCACCGUGGUCAUGGGACUCCCAUAAUACACCAUGCUGGCUCAGCUAGAGGGGAGGUCAUGGUGCAACAUUGGAAGAUAUAGCCAAGCCUAUAGAAGAGAAUGCGUAUAUGAAGCACCUAAACUAUAACUCCCAUGAGGCACCACAAUAGGUCAGGUGAAUGUAGCUUAAUGUUGAAACUGAAAUGAAAAAUCUAAACUUUUCAGCAAAAUUGACAUUUAUGUGUAGAAAAUUUUGUUUUUGCAGAAAACUCAUUUUCUAUAAACCGUCCCACCACAUUUUGAUGGAAAAUUCCUGACCAACUCUCCUUGAGACUUAUUUGAUGAUGAAAGCUGAGAUUCUGGAAAGACAGGUUAUAGCUUCAUAGAAGUGCCAGUAUGGCAUACGGCAUAUACCAGCUGUUUCUGAGCCAUGAAACUCUCAUUCCGGUAGUUUCCUUGUCAAACUUCUGGGAACUGGACACCAGGUAGUAGAGAACAAUCAGUGCGGGGUGAGGUGGGGGGCCCGGAGAACCCUUUGAAUGGAAAAUGAUCUUGUGUCCAGUAAUUGUUUCCAUAGCACUGGUGAAAAGGUGUGUGUGUUUUCUUAUCAUAACCCCUUAAUUAACUUUCUCCUUUGGACUCUCUCAUUGUUGCUGGCACAUGAAUCCAGCACACUCCCUGAGAAAUCUAAUAUUAUGGAUUAAUUUUGCACAAUGUAGUCAUUAAGAUCAGGCUGGACUAAAUAAAAACUUAUUCUCUUCGUCCUCUCA